AUUGAACGCUGGCGGCAUGCCUUACACAUGCAAGUCGAACGGUAACGCGGGGCAACCGGGCGACGAGAGGCAAACGGGUGAGUAAUGUAUCGGAACGUGCCCAGUUGGGGGGGAUUACUGCCCGACAGAGCAGCUAAUACCGCCUACGGACCGAGGGGGCAAGCGCGGGAUCGCAAGACCUAGCGCACUUCACGCGGCCGAUAUCCGAUUAGGUCGUUGGUGGGGUAAAGGCUCACAAAGCCAACGAUCGGUAGCUGGUCUGAGAGGACGACCAGCCACACUGGGACUGCGACACGGCCCAGACUCCUACGGGAGGAAGCAGUGGGGAAUUUUGGACAAUGGACGCAAGUCUGAGCCAGCCAUGCCGCGUGCGGGAAGAAGGCCUUCGGGUUGUAAACCGCUUUUGUCAGGGAAGAAACGCUCUGGGUUAAUACCUCGGGGUAAUGACGGUACCUGAAGAAUAAGCACCGGCUAACUACGUGCCAGCCGCCGCAGUAAUAC
rnacentral:rRNA from 1 species